rnacentral:rRNA from 1 species
AAAUUGAAGAGUUUGAUCAUGGCUCAGAUUGAACGCUGGCGGCAGGCCUAACACAUGCAAGUCGAACGGUAACAGGAAUCAGCUUGCUGAUUCGCUGACGAGUGGCGGACGGGUGAGUAAUGUCUGGGAAACUGCCUGAUGGAGGGGGAUAACUACUGGAAACGGUAGCUAAUACCGCAUAACGUCGCAAGACCAAAGAGGGGGACCUUCUGGCCUCUUGCCAUCGGAUGUGCCCAGAUGGGAUUAGCUAGUAGGUGGGGUAACGGCUCACCUAGGCGACGAUCCCUAGCUGGUCUGAGAGGAUGACCAGCCACACUGGAACUGAGACACGGUCCAGACUCCUACGGGAGGCAGCAGUGGGGAAUAUUGCACAAUGGGCGCAAGCCUGAUGCAGCCAUGCCGCGUGUAUGAAGAAGGCCUUCGGGUUGUAAAGUACUUUCAGCGGGGAGGAAGGGAGUAAAGUUAAUACCUUUGCUCAUUGACGUUACCCGCAGAAGAAGCACCGGCUAACUCCGUGCCAGCAGCCGCGGUAAUACGGAGGGUGCAAGCGUUAAUCGGAAUUACUGGGCGUAAAGCGCACGCAGGCGGUUUGUUAAGUCAGAUGUGAAAUCCCCGGGCUCAACCUGGGAACUGCAUCUGAUACUGGCAAGCUUGAGUCUCGUAGAGGGGGGUAGAAUUCCAGGUGUAGCGGUGAAAUGCGUAGAGAUCUGGAGGAAUACCGGUGGCGAAGGCGGCCCCCUGGACGAAGACUGACGCUCAGGUGCGAAAGCGUGGGGAGCAAACAGGAUUAGAUACCCUGGUAGUCCACGCCGUAAACGAUGUCGACUUGGAGGUUGUGCCCUUGAGGCGUGGCUUCCGGAGCUAACGCGUUAAGUCGACCGCCUGGGGAGUACGGCCGCAAGGUUAAAACUCAAAUGAAUUGACGGGGGCCCGCACAAGCGGUGGAGCAUGUGGUUUAAUUCGAUGCAACGCGAAGAACCUUACCUGGUCUUGACAUCCACGGAAGUUUUCAGAGAUGAGAAUGUGCCUUCGGGAACCGUGAGACAGGUGCUGCAUGGCUGUCGUCAGCUCGUGUUGUGAAAUGUUGGGUUAAGUCCCGCAACGAGCGCAACCCUUAUCCUUUGUUGCCAGCGGUCCGGCCGGGAACUCAAAGGAGACUGCCAGUGAUAAACUGGAGGAAGGUGGGGAUGACGUCAAGUCAUCAUGGCCCUUACGACCAGGGCUACACACGUGCUACAAUGGCGCAUACAAAGAGAAGCGACCUCGCGAGAGCAAGCGGACCUCAUAAAGUGCGUCGUAGUCCGGAUUGGAGUCUGCAACUCGACUCCAUGAAGUCGGAAUCGCUAGUAAUCGUGGAUCAGAAUGCCACGGUGAAUACGUUCCCGGGCCUUGUACACACCGCCCGUCACACCAUGGGAGUGGGUUGCAAAAGAAGUAGGUAGCUUAACCUUCGGGAGGGCGCUUACCACUUUGUGAUUCAUGACUGGGGUGAAGUCGUAACAAGGUAACCGUAGGGGAACCUGCGGUUGGAUCACCUCCUUACCUUAAAGAAGC